rnacentral:misc_RNA from 1 species
AAUUCUCAACCUUCAGCUUUAUUGUUGAAGGCUUGGACUUGGAGGUCGUGCCGGCUCUCGUAGUCGGCUCCUCUGAAAUGCAUUAGUGCGAACGUUACCAGCCGCUUCAGCGUGAUAAUUAUCUGCGUUGCUGUGGAGGGUAUUCUAGUGUUCACGCUUCUGACCGUCUUCGGACAAAUUUCUGAA